UACGAAGGGGGCUAGCGUUGUUCGGAAUUACUGGGCGUAAAGCACACGUAGGCGGACAUUUAAGUCAGGGGUGAAAUCCCAGAGCUCAACUCUGGAACUGCCUUUGAUACUGGGUGUCUUGAGUAUGGAAGAGGUGAGUGGAAUUCCGAGUGUAGAGGUGAAAUUCGUAGAUAUUCGGAGGAACACCAGUGGCGAAGGCGGCUCACUGGUCCAUUACUGACGCUGAGGUGCGAAAGCGUGGGGAGCAAACAGG
rnacentral:rRNA from 1 species